rnacentral:rRNA from 1 species
UACGUGGGGGGCAAGCGUUGUCCGGAUUUAUUGGGCGUAAAGAGCGUGUAGGCGGCUUGGUAGGUCCGCUGUGAAAACUCGAGGCUCAACCUCGAGAUGUCGGCGGAAACCACUUGGCUAGAGUCCGGAAGAGGAGAGUGGAAUUCCCGGUGUAGCGGUGAAAUGCGCAGAUAUCGGGAAGAACACCUAUGGCGAAGGCAGCUCUCUGGGACGGUACUGACGCUGAGACGCGAAAGCGUGGGGAGCGAACAGG